UUAUGGCUCAGGAUGAACGCUAGCGACAGGCUUAACACAUGCAAGUCGAGGGGCAGCGGUGCGCAGCAAUGCGCAGCCGGCGACCGGCGCACUGGUGAGUAACACGUAUGCAACCUGCCCGUGCCUGGGGGAUAAACUGGAGAAAUCCGGCCUAAUACCCCCGUAAGCCGCGCGUCCGCAUGGCCGUGCGGUGAGAGGAGCGAUCCGUGCACGGAUGGGCAUGCGGCGCAUUAGCUUGUUGGCGGGGUGACGGCCCACCAAGGCGACGAUGCGUAGGGGUUCUGAGAGGAAGGUCCCCCACACUGGUACUGAGACACGGACCAGACUCCUACGGGAGGCAGCAGUGAGGAAUAUUGGUCAAUGGACGGAGGUCUGAACCAGCCAAGUCGCGUGUGGGAAGACGGUCCUAUGGAUUGUAAACCACUUUAGCCGGGGGGCAGCACGCGGGACGCGUCCCGCGCCGAGAGUACCCGGAGAAUAAGCAUCGGCUAACUCCGUGCCAGCAGCAGC
rnacentral:rRNA from 1 species